rnacentral:sRNA from 1 species
GCCAGAUGUGGUGGCGCUUGCCUAUAAUCCCAAUGGCUCCGGAGGCUGAGACAGGGGGAUUGUGAGUUCAAAGCCAGCCUCAGCAAUGGUGAGGCCUUAAGCAACUCAGUGAGACCCUGUCUCUA